GUGUAGCGGUGAAAUGCGUAGAUAUAUGGAGGAACACCAGUGGCGAAAGCGGCUUUCUGGUCUGUGAUUGACGCUGAGGCUCGAAAGCGUGGGUAGCAAACAGGAUUAGAUACCCUGGUAGUCCACGCCGUAAACGAUGAGUGCUAGGUGUUGGGGGGUUUCCGCCCCUCAGUGCCGGAGUUAACGUAUUAAGCACUCCGCCUGGGGAGUACGACCGCAAGGUUGAAACUCAAAGGAAUUGACGGGGACCCGCACAAGCGGUGGAGCAUGUGGUUUAAUUCGAAGCAACGCGAAGAACCUUACCAGCUCUUGACAUCUUCUGCCAACCUAAGAGAUUAGGUGUUCCCUUCGGGGACAGAAUGACAGGUGGUGCAUGGUUGUCGUCAGCUCGUGUCGUGAGAUGUUGGGUUAAGUCCCGCAACGAGCGCAACCCUCGUUCUAUGUUGCCAGCACGUUAUGGUGGGAACUCAUAGGAGACUGCCGGGGUCAACUCGGAGGAAGGUGGGGAUGACGUCAAAUCAUCAUGCCCCUUAUGUCUUGGGCUUCACGCAUGCUACAAUGGCCGGUACAAAGGGCUGCGAUACCGUAAGGUGGAGCGAAUCCCAAAAAGCCGGUCUCAGUUCGGAUUGGGGUCUGCAACUCGACCCCAUGAAGUCGGAGUCGCUAGUAAUCGCAGAUCAGCAACGCUGCGGUGAAUACGUUCCCGGGCCUUGUACACACCGCCCGUCAAGUCAUGAAAGUCGGUAACACCCGAAGCCAGUGGCCUAACCCCUUGUGGGAUGGAGCUGUCGAAGGUGGGAUCGGUGAUUAGGACUAAGUCGUAACAAGGUAGCCGUACCGGAAGGUGCGGCUGGAUCACCUCCUU
rnacentral:rRNA from 15 species